rnacentral:rRNA from 1 species
CUACGGGGCGCUCCAGUGAGGAAUAUUGCACAAUGGGGGGAACCCUGAUGCAGCAACGCCGCGUGGAGGAUGACGCAUUUCGGUGUGUAAACUCCUUUUAUAUGUCAAGAAAAUGACGGUAGCAUAUGAAUAAGCACCGGCUAACUCCGUGCCAGCAGCCGCGGUAAUACGGAGGGUGCAAGCGUUACUCGGAAUCACUGGGCGUAAAGGACGCGUAGGCGGGUUGGAAAGUCAGGUGUGAAGUCCUACAGCUUAACUGUAGAACUGCACUUGAAACUUCUAAUCUAGAGUAUGGGAGGGGGAGAUGGAAUUAGUGGUGUAGGGGUAAAAUCCGUAGAUAUCACUAGGAAUACCUAAAGCGAAGGCGAUCUCCUGGAACAUUACUGACGCUAAGGCGUGAAAGCGUGGGGAGCAAACAGGAUUAGAUACCCCCGUAGUC